GAAGGCAGUUAGGCUGCAGUGAAUUCUACAAAGAGGCUAUGGGAAAGAAACCUGGAAAGUACCCUUGGCUGUGUACAUUUGAGUAAAGAGAGCACUAUAAAAUCAAAAACCAAUGAAAUGGUUUCCAGAACACAGAACUAUUAAGCUUAAGAAAAGGACAGAAGGAACUGAAGAGAGAGGAACUGUUUUGGAGCAUCACACUUCCACCUCAGAAGAAAUAAGGAAGGAAGGAGGAGGGUGUUCCCACGGCUCUUCAACCAGGCCGGCUCUUCAGCCUACAUCCCCAUCUCAUCAAGUAAAAGGGAUUUUUCAACUGGACCAACCAGAUGGUUUAACAGUGCACUCCCACACCAUUCAACUACGCAAGGGAGAUACACUUAACAUAUGCAGUCGUAUAACACCUACUAACAUUUUCAAACAUUAAACCUUUAAAAAAGAGUUCUAAAGAAAUAGAAGCUUGAAGUAUCAUCUCUCAAGUAUAUAGACACUACUUCAUGGUGUGGUAAUAUAUGCAUAUAGAAGCUAGUAAACACCUCCAGGAGAUGCAAAAGGAAUUAGAACUGCCACAAGGUGCAAGCAAAACCUUGAGUCUCCAUUGAUGGUGAAGUAUUUUCACUAUUUGGCAUGUCUUCUCUAGUACCUAGAGCAGUGCGUUGCAUGCAGUAGCAGGUUUAUAAACAUUUGCGAGUAAAACAUCCAACCUGAUACUCAAGGUAAUCAAUCUGCAUCCCAUUUUGGAUGAGAAUAUUUGCAACUUUGAAGGUUAUUUUAAGGACAGCAGCAGAAGAAUUAUGGCAGGUAUCUGAAAUUCAUUUCUGUGCUUUGCCGAGGACCCAUGGGAUGCCAUUUGCAGAUGAGAAAACUAAAGAAUAGCUUUAUCUUCCAGCUCUUCACGGAAAAAAAAAUGGCAACAAUAAAAUCAGCAACUCCUGCCAAAUAAAUGGGCAUAAAAAAGAAAUCAUAGACUGCUGGCAAUGGUGGGGAAAAAGUUAUAAAAAUUGUCUCUGCACCAUCUUCCUUUUGUCCUCUAAAAUAUUCACAUUAGCAAAAGUAUAUAACAGCUGAUGAAGAAAUACUGAUAAUUUGUCUUUGGGACUAGCUUCAGUAUUUUGGCUUCUUUUUGCUUCUUUGCAACAAAUUGGGAGACAAAGGUGGGAAAGUUUUUUUCAAUAAGUUAAUAAUUUUUUAAAGGUCAAAAUUUUGUUCUUUGCUUAUAUUAGAAUUAAACACUGUGAGAUUCUCUCUGA
rnacentral:lncRNA from 1 species